rnacentral:lncRNA from 1 species
GACAUCAAGAUGGUUUUAAUUUGUCAAUUAUCUAGCUUUUUCUUGCUCGGGUGGGAGUGACUCUCUGCAGGGACUCUCUUGGAAGCUGGGCCAUCUUUGCACAGGAAAUGUUUGGGAGGACAAGAUGGUGCUGGAAAACUCGGAGUGACCAUGAGAAUUAGUAGGUCCUGGUCUCCGGUUUGGUCCCUGAACUGCCCCGAGUUAAAGAGUCCAGCAGUCAAGGGCUGGACCCUGAAGCCAGACUGGGGGAGCUUAUUUGGUCCAUGCUUCCUUCGUCCUUGACUCCCUGGCCAGGCCGGAGGAAGGCUGACCCAUGCUGGACCUGGAGCGAUGGGUGGUCUUCCAGCAUGGGCUGUGUGGUUUGGCACAUCACUCUUGAGUGUGCUAAAUUUCUGCUGGUCUCACCUUUGUUGCAAACUCCGUUCUCAAGGUCCAGUUAUAGCUGGGUGUUCCACUCCUGAUGACUCACUUUUUCUCUGAAUAUAAACAGAUCAGCUGCUAACACUGAUGGUUUCUAUUUCAGGAAGACAACUCACCAAUGUCUUUUAAGAAAGAGUUUCUCUUAAGACACAACACGGAGAAAGAAGAAGGAUGCUCUUCACGUGACGUUCACCCCAGAGAGAGAUCUUUAUGGGCGGGUCUAAGCCGUCUUCCCUUCCGGCGCCUCCUGGGCCCUUUCCCUGCCGUCGAAGGACCCGAGGACUUGAGCUGCUGGCUCUCACAGAUGCAAGGCACACGGAACCAUCUGCUGUCAGGAUUGUUUAAAAACACACAGAGAUUGCACCGUCGCUGCACAGCUUCUCUCAAGAACCUUAGCAAGAAUCAGAAAGCGGUUUCAGUUCCUGAAAAAGAACCAAAUGACAUUCUAGAGGAAAAAAAUACACCUGUACUACUAGAAACCCCAAUGAAAAUAGAAGAUCAAAGAAAACCGUCAGGGGGACAACAGUCCCAAGAAGAGUCCUCACCAGGACAGCCGGAAGUACAACGUGACACCCAAGCAUCACUGGAACCGUCGUCCUUGGGACAGCCAUCCCAAGGACAGGCUGCUGACGGAGGUCCUCUGAACAGCCAUCCUGAGACAACCAUCCAUCCCCCAGACGGAUGCCCUGGGGAGGACACAAAGGACAGCGAAUACCCUGAAAACGAAGUAUCGGCCAUGGCGUGAAGCGCAACAGUCUGACGCUAGAAAGGAUCAUGAGGCAAAUUAAACGAAAAUUAGGCAUUUUUUCACAUGAUGCUGAAGAGGUGUGCUAGCAGAAUGUUACAAUUGUGAAUUUCAUAUUUUGGUGCCCAGACAUAAAGUUUCCAAACAAUAAGACCACAUGUAUCUGGAAUUUCUUCUUGGGUCCCUGAGUGCAAAGCUGGCAGGGAAGGGAGAGUCGCUGUGACGUUUAACGCGUGUCGCCACUUGGUCCAAAUGUUUGUUUCCUUCUUCUUAGAACAUCAGUCCAUGCCUGGACUGACGCAGCCCUCCUGAAAAUGAUCUGUGUUUUCAUAGGUAAGUGUAAUGAAACCUUCCUAUUCAGAGUGAGCUAAGCCUAUAAUUAUUAUGUUAAUGUGUAAAUACAUGCAUACACAGACAUACAGUAUACGUACCUGUACACGCACAUACAUGUCAGAAACAGACCAUCAGAACCCCAUGGAAUGGCACGUGGUUGGUGAGUAAGAAGAUGGACUCUGAAGUCAGAAGGUACAGUGAGGCUUCGCUCACUGGGUAUGUGAACUAGAUCUGCGCCUCAUCCAUAAACGGGAGCUAAUAAUGAUGCCUAACUCAUAGGUUGUUGGGAUAAUCGAGCGUGCCACUGCCUACCUUAAAGCCCUUUGCCAGUGCUGGACUCGGGGGGGACACUGAAAGAAGUUAACGACGUCCUUUUGGUUGUUGUCCUUUUUCCUUUAAAUGAGAGACGGUAAGCAGAUUAUGCUACCCAGAGCUUCUGCUAAGAUUCUUACCAGAUUUGACCCUUGUUAGGAGGGUCACCUGGGCUUCUCGGCUGUCCGAAUGCAGAUGGCGGCAAGGCUUGCAGGACCCUGAGGAUCCGGUUAUCAGCACACCCGUCCUUCCCCAUCUGUCAGUUGGUAGUACAGCGCUGGCGUGUGGAGGGAGAAGGGAAGGCUGUUAUUUCUUCAUAUUUGUGGUUUCUUGAUUUAUAGUUGGACCUGACCAU